UUUUGACCGUGCAAAGGUAGCGCAAUCACUUGUCUUUUAAAUAAAGACCUGUAUGAAUGGCCAAACGAGGGCUUAACUGUCUCCCCCCUCCAGUCAGUGAAAUUGAUCUAUCCGUGCAGAAGCGGGUAUACUAAUACAAGACGAGAAGACCCUUUGGAGCUUGAGGUACAAGACUUAACCACGUCAAACAACUCCGUAAAAAGAUAAAAACUUAGUGGCAUAUAAGCAUUUACCUUCGGUUGGGGCGACCACGGAGGAAAAGAAAGCCUCCAAGCGGAGAGGGCCAGCACCCCAGAGCCAAGAGGGACACCUCUAAGCCACAGAACGUCUGACCAAUAAUGAUCCGGCACAAAGCCGAUCAACGGACCAAGUUACCCUAGGGAUAACAGCGCAAUCCUCUCCCAGAGUCCAUAUCGACGAGGGG
rnacentral:rRNA from 1 species